UGGCAGGUCAGCAUACUGCCGUGAAUACGUUCCCGGGCCUUGUACACACCGCCCGUCACACCAUGAGAGUUGGGGAUACCCGAAGCCUGUGAGCCAACUUCUUAAGAGGCAGCAGUCGAAGGUAGAAUCAAUGAUUGGGGUGAAGUCGUAACAAGGUACC
rnacentral:rRNA from 1 species